GACGAACGCUGGCGGCGUGCCUAAUACAUGCAAGUCUAACGAGUGGCGGACGGGUGGAUAAUCUAUCGGCACGUGCCCAGUAGCGGGGGAUCACUACUCUAAAGAGUGGCUAAUACCGCAUACUAUUGGAGCGGCCGAUCUGGGCUUAGCUAGUUGGUGGGGUAAAGGCUACCCAUGGCAACGAUCCGUAGCAGGUGUGAGAGGACGACCAGCCACACUGGGACUGAGACACGGCCCAGACUCCUACGGGAGGCAGCAGUGGGGAAUUUUGGACAAUGGGGGAAACCCUGAGCCAGCCAUCCCGCGUGUAUGAGAAGGCCUUCGGGUUGUAAAGUACUUUUGGCAGAGAAGCGGUAUCUGGAGAAUAAGCACCGGCUAACUACGUGCCAGCCGCCGCGGUAAUAC
rnacentral:rRNA from 1 species